CCUGGUUUUCUCCCAAGGUUGUUUCAUACCUCUUUGGUGAAAAGGACCUGCAUUUCCCCUGGUCCAGCAUCAAGCUACAAAACAAAACUCUUGUAUCCUAAAAUCCUCUUUAGUGUUAUUAUCCUGGGCAUCCUUCCACUGGUGAGCCAGAUUGAUAACUCCACUCCCAGUUUAGUAAAAGGCUAGCGACCUUGAUUUCAGGAAGAAGGGGAAGUGCUGUGAGGAAAGCUCAAGCAAGCCAGGAAGUAGGUCAUGGUGAGUGCAGGACCACUGCUACAACGGGAAGGAGCAGGCGGCUGAACAGCCUGAGCUGAAAUGCUGUCUCCACUCCCACCGCUCGGAGGAUAGACACAAAUGCUAAUGGAGAGCAAGUCAGACCAGAGAUCUGGAAAAGGUCUGACCCAAGACUGGAAGCUCUAUUUAACCUUGAGGAGGGGUAAGACUCAUUGGGCAAUCUAGGGCCCCAGGCGGAUCUGCCAGUCAGACAAUGAGGAGGGUUCUUCCGGGUGGCUUGCUGCACGUUCGUUUUGGAAUGCAGGAGUGAAUAGUCCUUUCCGUCCUGCUUUGAGUAAUGCUGUUGGGUGCCAUUGGGGACCUUAAGCGAGCUCCGAAGUUGAGACAUGGUGAGUGCGAGAUCACUGCCCACAAAGGGGAGGAGCAGGCGGAUGAACAGCCGGAGCUGCAAUGGUGGAUCCUCCUCAAAGUCGGCCUGGGACCACAGAUAGAGGAGGCUCUAGGAGGAUAGGCACAAAUGCCACCCGAAUGCAAACCACUCCCGAGAUCUGUAAAAGGACUGGACCGGGACAGGAAGCACACUUUAAUCUAGAGGCGGGGUAAGACUCGCUGGCCAAUCAAGGAUUCCAGGGCGAACUGCCAGUCAGACAAUGAGGCGGGGUCUUCCGGAUGCCUUGCUGGAAGUUUGUUUUUGCUCUACAGGAUUGAACCGUCUCUGUGUCUUGCUUUGAGCGCUGCUGUUGGGUGCUGUGAGUGGACCUCAAGUAAGCUCCGUUUUUGAAACAUGGAUGCAGUGACUUAUGAUGAUGUGCGUGUGAACUUCACUGGGGAAGAGUGGGAUUUGCUGGAUCCUUCCCAGAAAAGUCUCUAUGAAGAGGUGAUGCAGGAGACCUACCAGAACAUCACUGCUAUAGGCUACAAGUGGGAAGACCAUCAUAUUGAAGAACAUUGUCAAAGUUCUAGAAGACAUGAAAGGCAUGAAAAAAUUCAUAUUGGAGAGAAACCGUAUGAACGUAACCAAUGUGGUAAAGCCUUUGGAAGUGACAAUCAUCUCCAAGUACAUAAAAGAACAAAUACUGGAGAGAAACCUUAUGAAUGUAAUCAAUGUGGUAAAGCCUUUUCACAACAGAGUAGUCUCCAGUAUCAUAAAAGAACACAUGCUGGACAGAAACCUUAUGAAUGUAAUCAGUGCGGUAAAGCCUUGUCAUGUCAAAGAAGUCUCCAAUAUCAUAAAAGAACACAUACUGGAGAGAAAACUUGUGAAUGUAAUCAGUGUGGUAAAGCUUUUGUAAGACCCAGUCAACUCCAAAAACAUAAAGGAACACAUACUGGGGAGAAACCCUAUGAAUGUAAUCAGUGUGGUAAAGCCUUUGCACAUCACAAUAAUCUCCAAUAUCAUAAAAGAACACAUACUGGAGAGAAACCUUAUGAAUGCGAUCAAUGUGGAAAAGCCUUUGCAGUUCAGUAUAGUCUCCAAUAUCAUAAAAGAAGACAUACUGGAGAGAAACCUUAUGAAUGUAAUGAAUGUGGUGAAACCUUUGCAUUUCAGUAUAGUCUUCAAUACCAUAAAAGUACACAUACUGGAGAGAAACCUUAUGAAUGUAAUCAAUGUGGUAAAGCAUUUCCACAUCACAAUAAUCUCCAAAACCAUAAAAGAAUACAUAGUGGAGAGAAACCUUAUGAAUGUAAUCAAUGUGGUAAAGCUUUUGCAAGAACCGGUCAACUCCAAACCCAUAAAAGAACACAUACUGGAGAGAAACCUCAUGAGUGUGAUCAAUGUGGUAAAGCCUUUGCACUUCAGUAUAAUCUCCAAAAACAUAAAAGAAUACAUACUGGAGAGAAACCUUAUCAGUGUACUCAAUGUGAUAAAGCAUUUUCACAACACAGUAGUCUUCAAUAUCAUAAAAGAACACAUACUGGAGAGAAACCUUAUGAGUGUGAUCAAUGUCGUAAAGCCUUUGCAUGGCAAUAUAGUCUCUAUAUACAUAAAAGAAUACAUACUGGAGAGAAACCUUAUGAGUGUAAUCAAUGUGGUAAAGCCUUUGCACAUCACACUAGUCUCCAAUAUCAUAAAAGAACACAUACUGGAGAGAAACCUUAUCAGUGUGAUCAGUGUGGUAAAGCAUUUGCUCAUCAAAAUAAUCUCCAAUAUCAUAAACGAACACAUACUGGAGAAAAUCCUUAUGAAUGCAAUCAAUGUGGUAAAGCCUUUGCAAGUCACACUCAUCUCCAAGUACAUGAAAGAACACAUUUUAGAAAAAAACCUUAGAAUGCAAUCAAUGUUGUAAAGACUUUGGAUAUAAGACUAAUCUCCAAAGACAUAAAGGAACAUAUACUGGACAGAAACCUCAUGGAUGUAAUCAAUGUGGUAAAGCAUUUGCAACUCACAGUCAUCUACAACGACAUAAAAGAACACAGAGGAGAGAAACUGGUUAUUGUUUACAUACUGACAUAAGAAGAUACAAGUAUGUAUCAAAUUGACAAUGGAUGGAUUGUGAUUGCUACUCUUGGUUUUCAAUAUAAGAUCUAAAGUGAAAGCAUAGGUCCAGGCAUGGUGGUACAUGCCCUUGAACCCUAGGAGAUGAGCAUCAAGCAGAUCUCUGAGUUCAAGUCCAUCCUGAUACAGAACAAGUUUCAGGUGAAGAAAAGCUAAGGUCUAGGCCUGUGGAUACAGAGCCUUGCAGAUCUCUGAGUUCAAGGUCAAUAUAUAGAGCAAGUUCCAGGACAGCCAAGCUGAGGAAGUAAAGGAUUUGGAGAACUGAAAACUGGUGAUAAUGUAAUAGAAGAGGCCAGGUCCCAGGCCCACAAAGCAGCAGAACUCAGCAGCUUUGUCCAUGUGGCUCUGACUUUAGAGGUAAGAAUAGAAGGGACUACUGGGAAAAUGGAAGCUUGUUAGCUGUAGCUGAGAAAUUAGAAGUGAUGAUGAAGACACCAACAUCAUUGAGAUGAAAGCUUCUAGGAAAUGAUUUCUGAGAGGACAAAGAAACUGUGUUCCAGAGAUAGACAGGAUUGUACCUUGUGUUGCAGCUGAACAUGGUUUCAUGUAAGAAUCACCCAGGUGGUACUGGUUUUGAAGGCAUGACGGUGUCAUGAGGAGCAGCUGAGGCUUGGACCAAUGAAGGGAGCAUAAGUGAGGCUAUCACUGAAGCCUAGUUGCAGGAGAAGAACCCAACAUAUUGAAGAUGCCAGUCCAAUGGGAUGAGCAGAAAGAACAGCCCAGUAGAGCGGAGUCAACCAGAGCUUAGAGUGAUACAGACAGCAGAGCUGAAGAAGUGACCUUAUCUCUUUGGAGGAUAGCAGAAGAUCAUGUGUGGAUCCAAGACAUUGGAACAAGAAACUGUAACACUGAGGUUACCUUGGAGACCCCAAGAUCUUGGAAAUGCCAGAGCUCUGGGGUACCUGCUCAGGAAAACCAGCCAAAGAGAAAGAAUUGUGCUGCAGUGAACUAAGCAGAAAGGAGUUGGAGAUCUGAAGAAUGCUUUAACAUCACUCAUGGAGAUGCAGUUUGGAGAUUUCCAAGCUGGCUUUUGGUUUUUGUUUUGGUCCAUUAUUUCCUCGUGAGGACAUUUAGGAAUGGUGAAAUCUAUGUUGUGAAGUUGGAAGUAUAUGAUCUGCUUUUAGAUUUUUCUUUUUUAGGGGAUUACAGUUACAUUGAAUGAAUCUCAGAAGAGACUUUGACCUUUGGACUUUUAACAUUUUUGAGACUGGUGUAGAUGAUGGGGACUUUUGAAGUUGGACCUCAUGUAUUUUUCAUUAUGCAUGUUUAAAUAUGGUCCUCAUACGUUCUUGUACUCCAACAUGGUUAUGGGGGCCAGUGAGUGGAAUAUGGGAGUUUGAAUAUACUUGUCACAGGGAGUGGCUCUAUUAAGAGGUGUGACCUUGUUGGAGGAAGUGGAUAUCUCUGGGGAUGGACUUUGAAGCUCCACCUAGUACAAAACAGACCCUCCUAUUCCCUCCCUGGAAGACAGUUUCUUCCUGGCUGCCUUUGGAUCAAAGUGCAGAACUCUCAGCUCCUUCUCCAGCAUCAUGUCUGCCUGCAUGCUGCUGUGCUUCCUGCUAUGAUGAAAAUGGACUAAACCUCUGAAACUGUAAGCCAGCCCCAAUUAAAGGUUUGCUUUAAUGAGAGUUGCCUUGGUCAUGAUGUCUAUUCCUAGCAAUGGCAACACUAAGACAGAAACCUUGGGAGUGUAUUUAAUAUGGUGAAGCCUUUGCACAAUUCUGUAGGCUUCAUCAUCAUGAAAGAAUAUGUACUGGAGCCAGACAGUGGUGGUGCAUGCCUUUAAUCCCAGCACUUGGGAGGAAGAUGCAGGCGGACUUCUGAGUUCUCAUCCAGCCUGGUCUACUGAGUGAUUUCCAGGACAGCCUGGGCUAUAGAGAGAAACCCUGUCUUGAAAAACCAAAACACAACAAAAGAGUAUGUACUGGAGAGAAACCUUUUGAAUGUACUUACUAUGGUCAAGCUUCUUCCUACGGUUAAGAAGGAAUGACUUUGACAGAUAUAGUUCUCAUUCUCUGUCUUUAGAACGUGAGCAUCACACAGGAGUUCAUGACAAGCUCAUUCUUGGACCCUAUCUACAUGUGUUAAAUCAGAAGUUUUGCUCUCAGUAUAUGACCUCUAGAAAAAUAAUUAAAGGUGGCCCCUGAACUCUUUAUUUCUGACUCUCCAGUUACUACUAAUCUAUCUUUCAAGCAGAGGCCCCAUGUCCUUGAGCUCUCUUUGGGAGCAGAGGUGAUCAGAAAGGUAGUCAAGGGCUCUGAAGCCCCUCAGGAACACUAGUGGUUUCAGGCAACACCAGCCCCACUGAAGCACACACACAAAAUCGUGUUGAGGAUUAAUCUAAUGUGUGCUCUCUGACUCAGCGUUUGCAACUAGCAGCUAGAACUUGCCAUAUCCACCCAACAAACCCCAUACACAUCUAGGAAACUUCUGCAGCUCAGAAACUCCUGUUGCACCUGAAAUUGGAUUUCCCAGAAUCAUACAAUGUAUACUGACCACUGUUUUUCCUCCGUGUAAUCCUCAUAAGUCUAGCCUACCUUCCCUUUUCCCCAGAUCCACUCUCCCUGCUCCAUUUUCUCUUCAGAAAAGAACAAACCUCCAAGAGUAGAGAGCCUAAGAAGACCAAACAAGAUGCAAAACAAAAGGCAAUAGACCUCAUACUGAGUCUGGACAAGGCCACUCAAUAGGAAGAAGAGUUGCAAGAGCAGUUGAGGGAGUCAGAGCUACAUCUUUUCUCACUGUGAGGAUUCCCACACAAACACCAAGCUAACAGCCAUAACAUACCAGCAGAGAACUUGGUAGACACCCAUGCAAACCCCAUUUUUGCCAUUUUGGUCCGUGUGAAAUUUUUGGCCAUCCAGAUUGUGUAAGACUUGAGUUUCCUCUCCUGGUAUGGGCUUCACGUUAAAGCAACCAUUGAUUCCUGACUCCAAAGAGUUGGAUGCCACCAUGCCCCUGCACAUCUUGCAGGCAGGACAGAUUUUACAUGGAGGGUUUUUUAGGUGGGUUGAUGUCCAGGCAGGAUUCUCUUCCUAUAGCCUGGAGAGUGUCUUUUCAUCUCAAAGAGAACAGAACACUGGAGUGCAGUCUCCAAGCCUGCAAGCAUGUCUGUAUUCUGUGACCUAUGUGGAAGUUGUCCUCAGCAAUGGCCCUGCUGUCUGUUUUCAGAGAGUAACCUUCUCUCUUGUCCUUGUAAUGUUUCGCCAGCAAAACACACUCGGACAACCAGAUCCUCCUACGGCAAAGCUUUAUUGCUUACUUAUCAGGAAGACCUCGAAUACAGGAAACUCAGUAUUUAUAACCCACAAAGAGCGGUUGGAGACCUGUCAGCUCCUGAUGAGCUGCUCACUAUCAGCCCAGAUGACUGCCCUGGGACAGGCAGGGCACAAGGCAUGGAAAAAUACCCCAGCAUAUGCGCAGACUACUUGUUUACUAGUUAGAACACCGGAUAUCAGCGCCAUCUUGUAAUGGCGAUUGCAAGAGCGGCUCCUCACACUUCUCUCCUAGCAUCAAUCUGCAUUGUAUAAGGAUCCCCAUGGGAUCUUUUUGGCCAACAAUUCAACUGAGUAUAGCCCAGUCCCUUCCUACUGAAGCCCUGCCUGGUCAUGAUAGAUGGCCAGUUCAGUCUCUAUAUUCUCUGUUACUAGGAGUCCUCACUAAGGUAAUCCUCAUAGAUUUCAGGAAGUUACCAGUACACUAAGUUUCUAUAUUAACACCCAAGUGACCCAUAAUUCUAGUUUUUUCUCCCUACACUGGACUCCCUCUCACUCUGUCCUUGUUCAUCUUUAGUCCACCCACAGAAUUUAUUCUAAUUCCCCUUUCCAGGGAGAUCCAUUCUUCUCUCCUGUAGCCCUUCUCUUUACCUAGUCUCUCUGGGUCUAUGGAAUGUAGUUUGAUUAUCAUUUACCUAAUAAUUUAUAUCUGUUUUUAAAUCAAGGUAUACCAUACUUGUUUUUCUGGGUCUUGUUUCCCUCACUUAGGGUGAUUAUUUUUUUUCUACUUGAAUCUAUUUUCUUGUGAAUUUUGUUCUGUUCUUUAUUUGUCUGUGGUGUCCAAUCUUUGUUUGUGAAUCUCUGCAUCUGUUUCAGUCAGCUGCUGUGUAGGCUCCUGUCUGCAUGAUACAAGUAUUCUGAAUAAUAUCAGGGAUUGAUGCUUGCCCAUGGGAUGAGUCUAAAGUUGGGUAAGGUAUAGGUUGGCUCUUCCCUUCAUGUCUGCUCCAUCUUUGUACCUGCAUUUCUUUCUUGCUUUCUUUCUUUCUUCCUUUCUUUUUUAGAUUUAUUUAUUUAUUAUUUGUAAGUACACUGUACCUGUUUUGAGACACCCAGAAGAGGGCAUCAGAUCUCAUUACUGUUGCUUGUGAGCCACCAUUUAGUUGCUGGGAUUUGAACUCAGGACCUUCAGAAGAACAGUCAGUGCUCUUAACCACUGAGCCAUCUCCAGCCCCUGUGCCUGCAUUUCUUGUUACAGGACAAAUUUUGGGUAGAAAGUUUUAUGGUUCAGGUGGUGUUCUUAAAUCUCCACUGGCUGUCAAUCCUGGCUGCAGGAAGUGGCCGAUUCACAUUCCACAUCCCACUGCUAUGAGUCUCAGUCAUGUUACCCCAUACACUCCUGGGUGCCUUUUAUAUCUAUGGUCUCCUUCACAUGCUGAAGAUUCCUCUACUUCCCCCCUCCCCACACCCACACACACACCCACCCCCAUCCCUGCCAGCUGCAGAUUUCCUGGAUCUAUGGCCCUCUCUCCUGUCUCUUACCACACCUGUUCCUAACCGUUCCCCUUUCCCAUUUCCAGUCCUGUUUUCCAACAAUUUCCUUGUCUACAUCUCUCUCCUAUGACUGUUUUAUUCUGCCUUCUGAGUGAGAUUCAACCAUGCUCACUUCAGUUAGCUUCUUUGGGUCUGUGUAAUGUAGCAUGGAUAACCUGUACUUUAUGGUUAAUAUUUACUUGUGAGUGAAUACAUACAUGCAUGUCCGUUUGGGUCUGGAUUACUUUUCUAGUUCUGUUCAUGUGCUUUCAAGUUUCAUGAUGUCCUUGUUCUUAAUAGCUGAAUAUUAUUCCUUGUUAAAAUGAACUACAUUUUCUGUAACCACUGUUCUGUUGAGUGACAUCUGGGUUGUUUUCAGUUUCCAGCUAUUAUGAAUAGAACUGAUACGAACAUAGUAGUGCACGUGCCAUUGUCUGUAUAUGUCUAAGAAGGUGCCCUAAGGGUAACAUUCCCUCCUGUUCGGCUUCUAUUAAUGGAAGGAGUAGGCAAAGUGAUUCCUAGUCACUGGAAGGAACUUCAAAUCAAACCUCCCCAUCUGUGGUCCAAGCAUGGGAGGGUUCAUCAACUUAGAAGCCAAACUUGACAGGAUCACCCAUAUUCUGCUGCUUCUGCAAAUUGAAAGAUGAGAAAUUCCAGGUUAUGAACACUUCCUCUAUGUUUUCAAUUCAGCACUAUUCUAUCCAUCUUUUGGCAAAGUCAGAGCCCCGGUGAAGAUUCUGUGAGGGUUCAUUGUAUUGAAUUUAUGAUAAUGAAGAUUGAGUUGCAUUUUUCGAACAAAAGAUAUUGAUAUUCCUAAGGCAUUGAGAAAUCUGUCAUGCAGAGAUGCACACAGGGAGAGGGAGUACCCAAACUGAGAGAUGCAUGAGAAGUUACAGGAAUUGGAUCAUCUAAGCCUUUAGAAAGGGAACUCCAGUGUGUCUCAAACAAAGGAUGCAGUGACUUAUGAUGAUGUGCGUGUGAACUUCACUGAGGAAGAGUGGGAUUUGCUGGAUCCUUCCCAGAAAAGUCUCUAUGAAGAGGUGAUGCUGGAGACCUACCAGAACAUCACUGCUAUAGGCUACAAUUGGGAAGACCAUCAUAUUGAAGAACAUUGUCAAAGUUCUAGAAGACAUGAAAGGGGAUUACAGUUACAUGAUUGGAUGACUCUCAGAAGAGACUGUGACCUUUGGACUUUUAACAUAUUUGAGACUGGUAUAGAUGAUGGGGACUUUUGAAGUUUGACCACAUGUAUUUUCCAUUAUGCCAUGUUUAAGAAUGGUUCCCAUACAUUCCUGUACUCCAACAAGCUUAUGGGGCCAGUAAGUGGAAUGUGGGAGUUUGAAUUUGCUUGUCACAAGGAGUGGCUCUAUUAAGAGGUGUGACCUUGUUGGAGGAAGUGGAUAUCUCUGGGGGUGGACUUUCAAGCUCCACCAAGUGCAAAACAGACCCUCCAAUUCCCUCCCUGGAAGACAGUUUCUUCCUGGCUGCCUUUGGAUCAAAAUGCAGAACUUACAGCUCUUUCUCCAGCAUCAUGACUUCUUGCAUGCUGCCAUGCUUCCUGCUAUGAUGAAAAAUGGACUAAACCUCUGAAACUGUAAGCCAGCCCCAAUUAAAGGUUUGCUUUAAUGAGAGUUGCCUUGGUCAUGAUGUCUAUUCCUAGCAAUGGCAACACUAAGACAGAAACCUUGGGAGUGUAUUUAAUAUGGUGAAGCCUUUGCACAAUUCUAUAGGCUUCAUCAUCAUGAAAGAAUAUGUACUAGAGCCAGACAGUGGUGGUGCAUGCCUUUAAUCCCAGCACUUGGGAGGAAGAUGCAGGUGGACUUCUGAGUUCUCGGCCAGCCUGGUCUACUGAGUGAGUUCCAGGACAGCCUGGGCUAUAUAGAGAAACCCUGUCUCAAACAACCAAAAACAAAAACAAAAAACAAACCAACAAACAAAAGAAUAUGUACUGGAGAGAAACCUUUUGAAUGUACUUACUAUCGUUAAGGUUCUUCCUAUGGUUAAGAAGGAAUGACUUUGACAGAUACAGUUCUCAUUCUGUGUCUUUAGAACCUGAGCAUCACACAGGAGUUCAUGACAAGCUCAUCUUUGGACCCUGUCUACAUGUGUUAAAUCAGAAGUUUUGCUCUUUGCAAUGUGAAAUCUGUAUCAUGCAGGAAACAAGCCCAGGUCACUUUAUUAUCUUGUAUUAGUUCUCACGACUUUGCAUUGAGGAAUUACAUUUUCCUGCUUACUUAAUUCCAAAGGAGUUGUCUUGCUUCUCUUUAAUGAAAACUAAACUCUGUUAAACAACUAUAUAAAAAAUAAAAAUACAUAUGUAACUUUA